UUGAUCCCAAUUUCCAAAAUGUAAAACAUUUGCAGUAAACUACUUGCAUUGAAACUUAGACAUUAAACUAAUGUUUUUUGAUUAAAAUAGAUAACGCUAGGUAUAUGUAGCAAUAGCAGUGGAAGCCCGUAUUUGCAAGCCAGUUGAGGGAAGGACAGAAUUCUGAAAAGGAGCAUGUUUUUCAUUUCCACACGUACAUGUGUAUCACUAUGGACAUCUAAUAUUUUUGUGGGAUUUUGUCCAGCAGUUUGCCUUAAAAGAUUUUUUUUUAUAUUUAAGUUUCAUAUUUAUGUGGAUUCCAAUAAAAAUAAUACAAACUUCA